rnacentral:rRNA from 1 species
UACGAAGGGGGCUAGCGUUGUUCGGAUUUACUGGGCGUAAAGCGCGUGUAGGCGGUUCGGUAAGUCCGCUGUGAAAGUCGGGGGCUCAACCCUCGGAUGCCGGUGGAUACUGUCGGGCUUGAGUACGGAAGAGGCGAGUGGAAUUCCUGGUGUAGCGGUGAAAUGCGCAGAUAUCAGGAGGAACACCAAUUGCGAAGGCAGCUCGCUGGGACGUUACUGACGCUGAGACGCGAAAGCGUGGGGAGCAAACAGG